rnacentral:rRNA from 1 species
CAAUAGCGUAUAUUAAAGUUGUUGCAGUUAAAAAGCUCGUAGUUGGAUUUCUGGUAGGAGUGACCGUUCCGAACUUGAUUGUUCGUGUCUUGUGUUUUCUCCAGCCAUCCUUGUGGAGAACUUUUCUUGCAUUAAUUUGUAGGGAUUGGGACCCGCAUCGUUUACUGUGAAAAAAUUAGAGUGUUUAAAGCAGGCAAUCGCUUGAAUACAUUAGCAUGGAAUAAUAAGAUAGGACUUUGGUACUAUUUUGUUGGUUUGCAUACCAAAUUAAUGAUCAACAGGAACAGUUUGAGGAUAUUCGUAUGAACAUGUCAGAGGUGAAAUUCUUGGAUUUUGAUCAGACGAACUACUGCGAAAGCAUUUAUCAAGGAUGUUUUCAUUAA